AGAGUUUGAUCAUGGCUCAGGAUGAACGCUAGCGGCAGGCCUAAUACAUGCAAGUCGAACGCUCAGUAGCAAUACUGGGAGUGGCGCACGGGUGCGUAACGCGUACACAAUCUACCUCUAAGCGGGGGACACCUCCUGGAAACGGGGAUUAAUACCGCAUAAUAUGCCGAGGUCGCAUGACUUUGGUAUUAAAGCAGCAAUGCACUUAGAGAUGAGUGUGCGUCCCAUUAGGUAGUUGGUGAGGUAACGGCUCACCAAGCCUAUGAUGGGUAGCCGGUCUGAGAGGAUGGUCGGCCACACGGGCACUGAGACACGGGCCCGACUCCUACGGGAGGCAGCAGUAAGGAAUAUUGGUCAAUGGUGGAAACACUGAACCAGCCAUGCCGCGUGGAGGAAUAAGGUCCUACGGAUUGUAAACUCCUUUCGACGAGGAAGAAAGUGUUAGAUUUAUCUAAUUUUGACGGUACUCGUAGAAUAAGCACCGGCUAACUCCGUG
rnacentral:rRNA from 1 species